GUACACGCUGUGACUAGCAUAUCAAUAAGCGGAGGAAAAGAAACUAACAAGGAUUCCCCUAGUAACGGCGAGUGAAGCGGGAAGAGCUCAAAUUUGAAAUCUUAAAGGGUUUCCCUUUACGAAUUGUAGUUUAAAGAAGUGUUUUCUGUUGAGGUUUUGGUAAAAGUUCUUUGGAAUAGGACAUCAUAGAGGGUGAGAAUCCCGUAUUUGACCUUUACUUUCAACUUUGUGAUACACUUUCGAAGAGUCGGAUUGUUUGGGAAUGCAGUCCAAGAUGGGUGGUAAAUUUCAUCUAAAGCUAAAUAUUGGCGAGAGACCGAUAGCGAACAAGUACCGUGAGGGAAAGAUGAAAAGGACUUUGAAAAGAGAGUUAAACAGUACGUGAAAUUGUCAAAAGGGAAGCGUUUGACACCAGUGUUGUUUUUCUGAAAAUCAAUUAAAGAACUGUUUAUGCUAAGUUGUUUAGACUUUAUCAGCUAACUGUUUAGUUUUGAGCUUUUCUUUAAUGCACUUUUCAGUUAACAAGUCAACAUCAAUUUCUUUUGCUGUAAAAAAGCUUGAGGAAAGUGGCUUGAGAUUCGUCUUAAGUGUUUAUAGCCUCUUGCCUAUGCAGUCGGAGAGAUUGAGGUCUGCAGCGUAGAUCCUUCGGGGCUAAAUGCAUUUGUGCUAAGUUAUAGCAUUUUAUAGACAACUUGUUGACUAUGAUUUGUCUUGUAGCUUACUCGCUUAUGUUAUUUUACCUACGCUUAGGAUGUUGAAGAUGUAGCACAUCAU
rnacentral:rRNA from 1 species